rnacentral:rRNA from 1 species
CAAACUGGGAUUAGAUACCCCACUAUGCUUAGCCCUAAACCCUAAUAAUUUAAUAACAAAAUUAUUUGCCCGAGAACUACUGGCCACAGCUUAAAACUCAAAGGACUUGGCGGUACUUUAUAUCCAUCUAGAGGAGCCUGUUCUAUAAUCGAUAAACCCCGUUAUACCUUACCACUCCUUGCUAAUUCAGCCUAUAUACCGCCAUCUUCAGCAAACCUUAAAAAAGAACAACAGUAAGCAAGAGAAUUACCAUAAAAACGUUAGGUCAAGGUGUAGCCUAUGGAGUGGAAAGUAAUGGGCUACAUUUUCUAAAUAAGAACAUUACGAAACCCUUUAUGAAAUCUAAAGGACAAAGGAGGAUUUAGUAGUAAAUUAAGAAUAGAGUGCCUAAUCGAAAAGCGCAACGAAGUACG